rnacentral:rRNA from 1 species
ACUCAAAUGAAUUGACGGGGGCCCGCACAAGCGGUGGAGCAUGUGGUUUAAUUCGUCAUUAACCGAAGAACCUUACCAGGGUUUGACAUCUAGGGAAUCCUGAUGAAAGUCGGGAGUGCCCCCAAAAGGGGAGCCCUAAGACAGGUGUUGCAUGGCUGUCGUCAGCUCGUGUCGUGAGAUGUUGGGUUAAGUCCCGCAACGAGCGCAACCCUCAUCCGAUGUUGCCAGCGUAAAGUCGGGAACUCUUCGGAAACUGCCCGUGUAAGCGGGAGGAAGGUGAGGAUGACGUCAAGUCGGCAUGGCCCUUACGCCCUGGGCUACACACAUGCUACAAUGGACGUUAACAGAGGGAUGCAAUACCGCGAGGUGGAGCCAAUCCAAAAAUACGUCCUCAGUUCGGAUUGCAGUCUGCAACUCGACUGCAUGAAGUCGGAAUCGCUAGUAACCGCAGGUCAGCUAAACUGCGGUGAAUACGUUCCCGGGCCUUGUACACACCGCCCGU